UCUGAGUGGUCACUUGCCUUUGGGAUGGGCUGUCUGAGUGGUCACUUGCCUUUGGAAUGGGCUGUCUGAGUGGUCCAAUGCUCAAGGGCCUUGAGUUGGAAUUCCAGUAAUUCAUAGAAGUUAGUUUUCAGGUAUUAAAUAAUUCCAAUGCCAGCAUGAGUACCUCAAAAAGGUUCUGGAAAUUAAAAGUGGUCAUUGUUUUGUCCCCCCCCCCCCCCCCU